CCCUCCGGGCGGCACAGCGGCUAGCGCUGCUGCCUCGCAGCCAGAAGGUCCUGGGUUCGAACCCCGGGGGAGGGA